rnacentral:rRNA from 1 species
GCUAAAAACCUAGCCCAACUCAUGCAAAUGCCUCAACAAACUUAACCACGACAAAACAAAACAUUUUUAUCUUCUAGUAAAGGCGAUUGAAAAAUAAUUAAGGAGCUAUAGCAACAGUACCGCAAGGGAAAGGUGAAAUAAAAAUGAAAUAACUUUAAAGCAAAACCAAGCAGAGACACAACCUCGUACCUUUUGCAUCAUGGUCUAGCUAGUCUAACCAAGCAAAAUGCAUUUACAGUUUGACACCCCGAAACUAGGUGAGCUACUUCAAAACAGCCUCAAAGGGCCAACCCGUCUCUGUUGCAAAAGAGUGGGAAGAUUUUCAAGUAGAGGUGAUAGACCUACCGAGCCUAGAGAUAGCUGGUUAUUCAGGAAAAGGAUUUUAGUCCUACCUUAAGUUUUAUUGUACUAAUAAAUACGCACCUAAACUUAAGAGCUAUUCAAAUAAGGUACAGCCUAUUUGAAACAGGAGACAACCUAAAACACAGGGUAAUGAUACUCUUUAAGUGACCAAGUGGGCCUAAAAGCAGCCAACUUUCAAACAGCGUUAAAGCUUCGUCACUCCAUCUGAUUAAUACCAAAACCCAUUCAAAACCCUUUAUCACUACUGAAUGACUCCAUAACUUUAUGGAGAACACUAUGCUAGAACUAGUAACAAGAAGAAGACCUUCUCUAAAAUGUAAGUGUAAACCAGAAUGAACAUCUCACUGGCACUUAUCGUCUAUGAGCCCACAGUAACAACCCUCAAGAAAACCUUACUAAACUUUGACGUUAACCUAACACAAGAACAUUUCUAGAAAGAUUAAAAAAAGAGGAAGGAACUCGGCAAAUUUUAACCCCGCCUGUUUACCAAAAACAUCGCCUCCUGACAACAUCAUAGGAGGUCCAGCCUGCCCAGUGACAAAGUUAAACGGCCGCGGUACCCUAACCGUGCGAAGGUAGCGCAAUCACUUGUUCUUUAAAUGAGGACUAGUAUGAAUGGCAUCACGAGGGUUAUACUGUCUCCCCCUUUUAAUCAGUGAAACUGAUCUUCCCGUGAAGAAGCGGGAAUAAAUCUAUAAGACGAGAAGACCCCAUGGAGCUUAAAACUCAGUACCAACUGCCUUACCAUAUGCCCCUUAAACCAGGCAGACAUGACUACUAGUUUUCGGUUGGGGUGACCGCGGAGCAAAAUAAAACCUCCACGAUGAAAGGAAUUAACCUCCUAAUCAAAGAACUACAUUUCUAAGAAUCAACAAAUUGACAUUUAUUGAUCCAAUUUUUUUGAUCAACGAACCAAGUUACCCUGGGGAUAACAGCGCAAUCCAUUUCAAGAGCCCCUAUCGACAAAUGGGUUUACGACCUCGAUGUUGGAUCAGGGUAUCCCAGUGGUGCAGCCGCUACUAAAGGUUCGUUUGUUCAACGAUUAAAACCCU